rnacentral:rRNA from 1 species
AUGACGUCAAGUCCUCAUGGCCCUUAUGGUAGGGCUUCACACGUGCUACAAUGGGCGGUACAAAGGGUCGCGAACCCGCGAGGGGGAGCCAAUCCCAUAAAGCCAGUCGUAGUCCGGAUCGCAGUCUGCAACUCCGACUGCGUGAAGUCGGAAUCGCUAGUAAUCGCAGGUCAGCAUACUGCGGUGAAUACGUUCCCGGGUCCUU